rnacentral:rRNA from 1 species
AUGGGGCUGGACUACUACAAGAUCCUGGGCGUGGACAAGGCGGCCAGCGACGACGACCUCAAGAAGGCCUACCGCAAGCUCGCCAUGAAGUGGCACCCCGACAAGAACCCCACCAGCAAGAAGGAGGCCGAGAGCAAGUUCAAGCAGAUCUCUGAGGCGUACGAGGUGCUGAGCGACUCGCAGAAGCGCGCGGUCUACGACCAGUACGGCGAGGAGGGGCUCAAGGGCCAGGUGCCGCCGCCGGGGGCCGGCGGCGGCGCGGGCGGGCCGGGGGGCGCCACCUUCUUCUCCACCGGCGCCGACGGGCCCACCGCGUUCCGCUUCAACCCGCGCAACGCCGAGGACAUCUUCGCCGAGUUCUUCGGCUCCUCCAGCCCCUUCGGCGGCAUGGGGGGCAUGGGCGGCGGCAUGGGCGGCAUGGGGGGCGGAGGCCACGGCAUGCCGUCCGGUGGCAUCAGGUUCUCGCCGUCCAUGUUCGGCGGGAUGGGCGGCGGCGGCGACCACACCUUCACCCAGACGUUCGGCGGCGGCGGCGGCGGCGGCCAAGGGUACCCCGGGAUGUUCGGCAGCGGCGGCGGCGGCGGCGCGCCGGUCAAGGCGGCGCCCAUCGAGAGGAAGCUGCCCUGCUCCCUCGAGGAGCUCUACAAGGGGACCACCAAGAAGAUGAAGAUCUCCAGGGAGAUCGCCGAUGCCAGCGGGAAGACGAUCCCGGUGGAGGAGAUCUUGACGAUCGACGUGAAGCCGGGGUGGAAGAAGGGCACGAAGAUCACCUUCCCGGAGAAGGGCAACGAGCAGCCCCACACGAUUGCGGCGGACCUGGUCUUCAUCAUCGACGAGAAGCCGCACCCGGUGUACACCCGGGACGGCAACGACCUGGUGGCGACGCAGAAGAUCCCCCUCGCCGAAGCCCUGACGGGGUACACGGUGCACCUGACGACGCUGGACGGGCGCAGCCUGACGGUGCCCAUCAGCUCGGUGAUCCACCCGGGGUACGAGGAGGUGGUGCGCGGCGAGGGCAUGCCGAUCCCCAAGGACCCGUCCAGGAAGGGCAACCUGCGGGUCAAGUUCGACAUCAAGUUCCCCGCCAGGCUCACCGCCGACCAGAAGUCCGGCGUCAAGAGGCUCCUGGGGCAGUAG